rnacentral:lncRNA from 1 species
AAAUUUCUGACGGUCCGCCGGUAUGUAUCUUUUUUUAAAUACGCGGUCGCACUGAAAUUACUCUUUUGAAAUCCGGCAGUGAUGUACCAACCACAACCACUCUGACUCGACUUGAAAUCCGGCAGUGAUGUACCAACCACAACCACUCUGACUCGUGACGGUGAGUCUCUGAGGAAGAGUGGCUGAUCAGUCAUCUAAUUAGUAUUAGACCCUCACAGAGGGUCAACUGAGCGGGUUGGUGCAUUGAGGUCGGCCCCCUAGUGGGAGUAUCGUGGUGGCUGUGGUAGCCCAAAUGUUACGCGGG